rnacentral:sRNA from 1 species
AACAAAGGCAUCACAAAAGGAAUUAUGAUGGUUAUUACAAAACUUUUUUUUUUCUUUUUUGUCAUCCGAAAUUAAUUAAAACUCAAACGAGCCAAUCCCGAGGGAUAUUGUUUACAUAUGUGAUAAGAUGCGGUUCGGUACGGAUUUUCCGCGCCAAAUUAUCCGCUUUUACAUUAGCACUUUGAGAAAUUAAAGAUAAAGAAAAAUUUGUGAAUUCUUCCGUGUCGCUUUGCAAUUCCUCCAAAUACACAGAAAAUGUCGGCCAUUCGGUUGGGGAAGACACCAUCUUCACCAAAUCUGAACAGUCUGUAAAGAACGCUACGUCUUGGUUGUCUGCUCCAAUCAUACACUUCAUCGCCCAAAGAAGAGCUUCUACUUCUAUAUGUAGAGGAGAUAGACUUCUACGAAGAUUGGCGGCGCCCAUGGUUGGUGACUCUCCUGAUGAUGAUGUACAACACCAUCCUAACCCUGAAAACUGAUCACUUUCUUUCCAAGAUCCAUCAACAAAACAACGAAAACCUGAAAAGUUUGUAACAUGUGAGAUA